rnacentral:rRNA from 1 species
AUUGAACGCUGGCGGCAGGCCUAACACAUGCAAGUCGAGCGAGCGGCGGACGGGUGAGUAAUGUAUGGGAACUGCCUGAUAGAGGGGGAUAACUACUGGAAACGGUAGCUAAUACCGCAUACUAUCGGAUAACCCAUAUGGGAUUAGCUAGUAGGUGGGGUAAUGGCUCACCUAGGCGACGAUCCCUAGCUGGUCUGAGAGGAUGAUCAGCCACACUGGAACUGAGACACGGCCCAGACUCCUACGGAGGCAGCAGUGGGGAAUAUUGCACAAUGGGCGCAAGCCUGAUGCAGCCAGGCCGCGUGUAUGAAGAAGGCCCUCGGGUUGUAAAGUACUUUCAGUCGGGAGGCGUUACCGACAGAAGAAGCACCGGCUAACUCCGUGCCAGCAGCCGCGGUAAUUC